UGAAGGCCCAAACAUCUCAAAGAUCCACCCGUCGGUCAGAAGCAGAGGGUGCAUGCUGGUAGUAGUCAGUUCGGUUUAGUUGUGUUUCCGUGGCAUGGUUCGGUCUGGACUUUUGCAAUGCGGUAGUAGUUUUAAGUUGGUGGCUGAUCGAUGAUGUAGUCUAGUUAGUUGGUUAAUUACUAGUUACUGUUGAAUGUUGAUGUAGUGGCGCUAGCGCUUAAGGUUCAACUUAAACUGUUGGUCAUGUAUAUUUCUGUUGGUCAUGUAUUGUGUGCAUGGUUCAGUUGGUGCUAGAUGAGAUGACCACCGAGUAAAUUAGUUGCAAGUUCAAUUAAGCAGGUUUACAUUUUUCGAUCUAAUGGUUUAUGGUUGUAUGCAUGUUGUGUGUGUUGUAGCAAAUUGAGUCCGUAAUUUGUUAUGUGAGUGGCUGGCUACCGACGCAGGAACUUGCUAGACACGUGAACAAACAUAUAGCCAUGCAUGCACAGACUAUAUAUGUCAGACUUGUCCAUUAUCAUAUGUGCCAAAACAUCUAAAAUGUGUACGGAUGGAGUACGUACUACUGUGCCUGGUCAUUCUGUAAAUCUGAAAUCAUUUAAUCGUCGUGCCGGUGUACUAGCUUAGUAUCACUAGUUGGCCACAUUCGGGCACCACCCGGGGCUUUGAUCUGAGCCCCCUCCCACAGGCGCUAUAUAAUUCUUGUACAGCGUCAAAAUAGCCUCCUCUUUUACAGCGUCAAAAUAGUCUUUUUCGCGUGAGGACUAUUUUCGCGUGAGGUUUUCUAGAUGCACAAAGAGGUUUACUAGAUACACAAAUGCAUAAAAAUAUGACGCCCAAUCCGCGGCACCAAAUUUUGGGGCGGAAGUAGGGCUGGAAUUCGGGCCCAGUCAAGCCAGCUCGGCUCGUUUCGUUAAUGAGCAAGCUCGACUCGAUUCGUUACUAUAACGAGCUCAAACCCAAGAUUAGCUCGACUUGUAUAACUCGCGAGCUGGCUCGUUUAACUUGUUAAGUUCGUUUAAGAUAUAAACAUAAAGCCCUUAAAUAUGAUAAAAAAUAAUUAUGUAUAUAUUAAACAUAUAUAUCACUAAACAAUUGUAAUCUUCUUGUAACGCGUGAGUCUCUUAGGAGGCUAGGCCUUCAACUGCUCGGCCUUGGGUUGUGCGCCUGGGACAUAGGCUGUUUAGUGGCUGAUCUUUCUUUGUAUUAGGAGUGGCUGAUCUACUGUAUCGAGCUUAAUGAGUUACACGAGUACUCGUGAGAUUGACUCGUUUAACUUGGUCCAUAAACGAUCUUAAAAUAAAAUUCGGCUCGACUCGUUAUUCUUCGAGUUCGGGUCGAUUCGAGUCGAGUCACGAGCUACUUGUUUAGCUCGCGAGCUUCGAGUUUUUUUUCCAGCUCUAGGCGGAAGCGACGAAGAGAUUUUUCGGAUGAAAAAACAUCGUCGCCAAUUAGGCAGCAGCGCUAGCACAAAAACGGCGCCCAAUCCGGCGGCCUAACCUAUCCGACACCCUAAAUUUGCAUCCUAGCAGCACGUGCGGUAAAGUUUCUUAGUGCAGCGGCUCUGUUUUAACAACUGUCUGAGGAAUGUUUUUGUCUUCGACGCAUAAAAACAAUGGUUUUUAACGCGUGAGGUAUUUUUUGGGUCUCUCUGACGCAUAAAAACGAUGAUUUUUAACGCAUGAGGUAUUUUUUAGGCGCCUAUUAAAGAUGCUCUUAGAACAGCCGGGCGCCCAAUACCUGCAUGGUCCAGUCUGAUCGGUCAAAAAACAACAACCUACCCAUACGCCCGAUUGGACAAAAAAAUGACGGAUGCCUCAAGCCGAUCUUAAACCCCGUCUAAAUUGAAGCACAUAUGGGGAGGUCAGACCCGGCACAGUCUAAAUAUGAAGCGGAUAUGGGGAGAUCGGACCCGACCAACGUUGGUGGGAGGAGGCCCGGGCGCGUCCUUCAUGUCGGACCCGGCCCACCCGAUCCCACAUAUAGUCAUCCUCAUCCACUCCUUGGAUCAAACCCUAGCCACUCCACUCCGUCCCCUCCACUACACUCCGCUCUGUCCGGCGAUCUCUGGCAUGGCGGGCAGCGAAUUCGAGUCCUACACCUUCAUAUUCAUCAACCCCGAGCUCACCCAUGUGGUCCCGAGGAGGACAUGACUGCCUGGCUUACGCUCCACCGCUUUUGGGAGGAGGCCGCCCGACAACAGCGCCCAGACUCCUUUUGCAGGGAAUCCAUUGCGUCCACCCAAAUGAUGCAUGGAUCCGCCGCGAGGUGUGGCAUCACUGCCUCAUUGGAGGUGGUGCAGUUCGUGUGGCAUCUGAACAUGGUGGCGGACGCGCAAUCCCUCCGUUGGCACGCCGAGGCGGAGGUGAACGCACCAUGGAUGCAGGGUGAUGCAAUCGUGGCAGCGGGUGCGGGAGACGGCGGCAACCCUCGCGGUGGUGGACGUUGCUGAGGCGGAGUCUCAUUUUCCGGCGCCCCGUAUGAUGCACAAGUCCUGGGGCCGCAACCGCGUCAUGAUGGAUGUCGUCGGCUUGUCACAACACGGAUCCAUUAUCGAUCUGACAUCUACCAGCACCAUCAGAGUUCGGGGCUCUGACGAGGAAGAGUAGGGCAUAGGAGACGGCGACACCUUGAGUCUCAUGAGCCGGCUUGUGCCCCAUGUCCUACUCUACCUCGUCAUCGACCGAACCAACACUCUGAGGAUUGCAUCCGGCCGUUGGGUAUGGGCAAGGCGCAGCCAGACCAGCCCCGCCAAAUAUUAGGCUUAUGUUGCAUGUAAUAGUAUGAAUUUGAGGUACCUAGUUGUGGAAUGAAUUAUUUGACGCCCGGUCACUAUUCGCAGCUGCGGGCGUUUGAGGGUUCGAAUUUACUAAGUUCGGAUGUAGAUGCUCGUAAGAUGUACGGUUCUAUGUCUGAAUGAUGUCAUUUUUAAGUUGAUAACCAAGGUUAUUAAUAAUAGGGUUAUUAUUUCAACCGAAAGAACUGUAACCCUGUACAAACAACAUUUAUCAAAGAAAGAUAUAUACUUUAGUAGUUAUCUAUACCUACUAAUAAAGCAAGCUGCGUUUCGGCAAUUUUUUCAUCCUUUCAGCGCUGAUUUUUUUUUAUUAGAGGUGGUACUAAAUUCUUAUGCGUUCGUCUGCUAGAAAAAAAUGUUUUUCCAGAAUUUCGUACGUGGGUCGCGCGUUGUGGCCCGGGGAAGCCAGCCCAUUUAUUUUUCUGCCCACGCAGCUAGAAAAAUUCUAUUUUUUGCACAGGGCCAGAAAUAGUCAGAGCUUCGCAUAGGACAACCACUAAUGGGCUGGCCCAUUUCUCUUUGUUUCUGUGGUUUAAUUCUUUUUUUUUCUCCUUCCCCUAUCUCUUUCUACCCUUCCAAGUUUAUUUUCUUUCAUAAUAUAUUUCAUAAAUUCAAAAAUCCCAAAAAACAUUCAGAACUAAAAAAAUGAAAAAUGUUCAGAAUUCCAAAUUUUUGUUGCUAUUUUGAAAAAUAUUCAGACCUUGAAAAAAAGUACCCCCUUUUUUGUAAAAAAUAUUGUUUUUCAAAAUAGUUCGAGAUUUCUAAAAACUAAAUAGCAUUAUCAAAGGUGCUCCAAUUCAAAAUAUAUUCUUGUUUUAGUGAAAUUUCAGAAUUCAGAAUAAUGUUCCCGUAUAAAAGAUAAAGAUUUUCGAAAAAUGUUAUGAAUUUUUAACACAUGUUUCCGUUAUAAAAAAAUGUUCAAAAAUUCAAAUAAUGUCCAUGUUUUUUAGAAGGUGUUUUCAAAAAAUAUUCGUGAAUUGGAAAAGAUGUUCAUGUUUCAAAUAUUGUUCGCGUUUUGCUGAAAGUGUAUGUAAUUUUCAGAAACCUGUUCAGGAUUUAAAAAUUGCUUUAUGUGUUCUACAAUAUUCAGAAAAUUCAUACCUUAAAAUCUCCUCGAUUGAAAGAAAAAGUAGAUUGAAUAAUUCGUGGGCGUUCUUUGGCGUACGAUGAAGUAACGAAACUCUUAAAUGUCCUCGAUUAACAAAUAAAAAUAUGGCAGAUUGAUUACUUCACACCAGCGAAACCGAGAAGCUAAAUGUUCAUUUUUCACGUGCAGACAAAGGUGAUGAUCAAUAUACCUACCUACUAAUGAAGCAAGAUGCGUUUCGCCAAUUUUUUCAUCCGUUCACCGCAAAAAAUAUUUUUUUCCUAUCAGAGGUGGUAGUAAAUUCUUAUGUCUUCAUCUUUUUUUUUUGAGACAAUCUCGCAUGCUUUUAUUCAUAGCCCAUAAUGUUUACAGGAAUAAACUCAAGGUUUCCUGGUUGACCUAGCCAUACAUGAUGACCAAAAUUUAAAGACAAAGCAUAUCUAGCGAGAUUGUGAGCCUCGAAAUUCGAGCUCCUGAACUCAUGAACUACUUUACAUGAAGAGAAAGCGUUUGCACGAAGUAUUAUUUCAUGCACAAUGGCGCCGUAACCAGCCGCCGAGUUUUUCUGGACAUCUUCAACCACCCUCUUGCAAUCUGUUGCUAUUUGAAUGGAGUUCUCAUAUAGAUCCUCGGCCAACGAUUGGCCUUCCCUUACUGCUAUUGCCUCUAGUGUGCUUACAUCCGUGAUGAACUCAAGUUUUAAGAUCGAAGCACCCAAAAAGCGUCCUUGUUGGUCUCGGCACACUGCUCCCACUGCUCCAAACUCCCCUUGCAAGGACACUGUUGCAUCCACAUUCAUCUUUGCAUGCCCCUCCGGCGGAGGCAACCAUGAGUGUUGCCCCAAGCUAGCUUGCUUCGUAGCAUUGCCAGCUCCUCUGUCGAUCAUCUUCAAGUCCCUCAAAAAGGAGAGUAUGAAAGAGUUAGUAGUAAAAGGGCUAUCAAAAAUCUCUUCAUGUAUUGCUCUCCUUCUUGCUCGCCAAACUGCCCAGAGUGUCACCACCAUCCGUAUAAAUUCCCCUUGAGGCAAAGAUUCAUCCCACGUAAAAAUCCAGUUUUUUUCAUCCAACGAAAGAUUACCCAACAUUGCAUCCACAGUCUCCUCUGAGCAGAGUGACCAUACACUCCUGGCCAUCACACAGUCCACUAGUGCAUGCUUCCAGUCAUCUUGCGCAGAACAAAAAGCGCAACUUAUGUCUUCAUCUGCUAUAAAAAAAGAUUUUCCAGGAUUUCAUACGUGGGGCUGCGCGCUGUUACCCAGCAAAGCCAGCCCACUUAUUUUUGUGCCAAAGCAGCUGCCAAAAUUAUAUUUUCCGCACAUGGCCAAAACGUUGGAUUCUCGCACAGGACGACCAAUAAUGGACUGACCAUUUUUAUUUGUUUCUGUGUUUUACUUCUAUUUUUAUUCUCUGUCCCCUAUUUCCUUUUUCCCUUUCAAGUUUAUUUUUCUCAUAGAAUUUAUUUCAUAAACUAAAAAUUCACAUAAAAUGUCCAGAACUAAAAAAAAAUUCGGAAAUGUUCAGAAUUCUAAAAUUUUAUUGCAAUUUUGAAAAAUAUUCGGACCAUGAAAAAAGUUUCAUUUUUUUCAAAAUUCUUUAUUUUUUUCAUAAUUGUUUGAGAUUUAUAAAAAGAAAAUGGCAUUUUAAAAAAUGCUCCAAAUUCAAAAAUUAUUUUGGUUCAAUGAAUUUUUCACAAUUAUGAAUAAAGUUCGGGUAUAAAAGAUACACAUUUUCAAAAAAUAUUAUGAAUUUUCAACACAUGUUCUUGUUUUAAAAAAAAUAAAUUUCAAAUAUUUUCCAUGUUUUUAUUUAAAAAGUUGGUGUUGUCAAAAAAAUGAGAAUUUUAAAAGAUGUUCCUAUUUCAAAUUCUGUUCACGUUUUUCUGAAAGUGUACAUUAUUUUCAAAAACAUGUUCAGGAUUUAAAAAUGGUUCAUGUUUCCUACAAUAUUCGGAUAUUUCAUACCUUAAAUUAUCCUUGGUUUAAGGGAAAAGUAGAUUGAAUAAUUCAUGGGCAUUCUCUGGCAUAUGGUGACGUAACUGAACACUUAAAUGCCGUCGAUCAAAAAAUAACGGAUGAUUACUUCUCACCUGGCGAAACCCAUAAGCUAAAUGUACCUUUUUUCAGGUGUGCAUAGGGUUUUGCUUGUACACAUAAUUCUCAAUAACUUUAAAUGUAUAUAUUUUGAUUUUUCUCCCAUUGCAACGCACUGGCAUAUAUGGUAAAUAGUUGAAGCUUCCCAUAGGGUGCCUAAACUAGGCCGACCCAUUUCCCCUUUUUCUUUGUUCCAUUUCUAUUUUUCUAUUACUGUUUUCUUUCUCUUUCUCUUUUAUAUUUCUUGUUCCCUUUUCGCCUUAUUUAUUUUUAUUUUUUCUAUAAAUAAAAAAUUAAAAACAUUUCCUAAUUGUUUUCUGAAUGCUCCCUUUAAAAAAUAAAAAUUCAAAAAAAAUUGUCUUUUUGUAAAAUUCAUAUGUUUUCAAAAUAUUGUUUGUGGAUUUCAAAAAAUAUUCAUGUCUCUAAUUUUGUUCGUGCUUUUCCAAGAAUAUAUAUUCGCGCUGGCUAUUGGUUGCCCGUUCGUUCUAUGCUGGUUGACUAUAAAUGAAAGAAAUUGUGGGCAUGUGACAAUAAAAGAGAAUAUGUUGUUUGACUUUAAUUAAAGCAAAAUUAUGGGCACUUGAGCACUAAAAUAAUAAGAAAGAAUAAACCCUCAAAAUGAUGGUACAUUCAUGCCUGAUUAUGCUAACGAAACAGAAUUUAUGCGUUGCAAUUAAUAAUCCACCUAGUUAUGCCAUCGUAAGAUAGAGUUGUCAAAGCAACCGUGUCCCGAAGUUCGCCGUGCAACCAAGAAAUGAGGAGGCAGGCACAAUCCCAAGAUGGAGGCGGACCCGGAGGAAAAAGGCAUGACUUGGAUGCUCGCCACCAUGCCGACCAACGCCACUACUAGCAAGAUUUCGCGUGUCAAACAUGUCCAACGAGAAGACCAUUACUCCUUCCUCUGUUGCCUACCAUUGUGGAGACCCUUUUUUUAGAUUACACAUAAAUUAUCUUUCCUGUUGCUUCUCGCAAAAAAAUAUCUCUCUUGUUGCAAUGCACGGGCAUAUGUGCUAGUCUUACAUAAAGCUUGAAAUUAUAUUCAUCGAAACAGAAGUGAUGUAGUGAUGUUUAAAAUGGAUUUUGAAAAAUCCUAUGACAAAGCGUUCAAACUUCCUUUUUAUGUUCUAGGGAUGCAGGUUUUCCUAGUUUAUUUUAAAAGAAGGGCUAUUGCCCAUUUUAUAAAUAAAUCCAAACGUGAUAGAGGGACCCCAUGAUGACAAUGGGUAGGGUAUGUGUGGGUACAACCUUCUUAUUGUUUGCUAUUGCCUGACUUUAUUUUACCGAAAAAGGCUCGCGCUCCGCUUUAUAGAUAAAACAACUACCAUGCAACUCCAUGACACCACACACACACAAGGCAAGAUACAAUGACGAUAGAAUCUAAAUCUAAGGAUGCCAUGAUGCCCCAUUGUUUACAAGGAAACAAGCAGACUCUACUCCUUUGAGACGUGCUAUGAGCAGCGAUGACACAUGCUGCGACCGGUGGGAUAACAUGCUGCAAGCGGCAAUAACGGAUGCUUUGACUUGCUAGGAUGACAUGAUGCAAAUGGUUGGACGAUGUGUUGUGACCUUUGGGAUGACAUGUUGCAGGCGGCUAUCGCGGAUGCUACAACCAAGGGGAGAUGUGCUUCGAGCGGUGAGGGCGGACGUUGCAACCAGUGGAUGACAUGUUGCAAGCAGCGUUGACGGAUAUUGCGAGCGGUGAGACUACAUGUUGUGAGGCCGAGUGCUCAGUCUUGUAGAAAUCUCAGCACAAAAUAUCCAGCGGCUACAGCCUACAGAGUUGACUCAAACUUAACUAAAUCUCUAUCAACUACAGCGGCUACAGAGUUGACUCAAACUUAACUAAACCUCUAUCAACUAUGAUUUAACUUCAAUGGUCAAUCCACAUGCAUGCAAUUUUUUCCAUGACUUGGACUGAUUCGCCGUGCAACUACUACUUAAUUAUUACUAGCUAGCAAUCUGAAUGAGACGGUGAUCUGAAUAUGUAUGGUCUAUCUAAUUCGACAGCAGCAUCAGAUCAUGAUCUUACUCUCCAUGCUCAAGAUGAAGCUCCUGCUGAAACGCCAUCUCUCCACCGCCGUGGUGAUCUACCAUAUCCAUUGUCCGCGGCGGCAUCGGCGGCGGUGGCAACGUGCAGGUAGGUUAUGUAGACGGCGAGGCAGUACCCGGAAACAGCAGCCAAUGCCAUGAGCAGCAGCAGCUGGAAGACUGCCGCGCAGAGGGCGCCUGCCACGGUGCGGGUCGCCAGAGAAACCACGACGCCGCACACGAUGAGGAAGAAGGUCGCCGGCUCCAUCCACGCCGGGAACAGGGCGCCAUGCAGGAGCACCAUGCCCACGGUGACCACCCAGAGCACGGCGUGCAGCCAGCCCAUGAACGAGAGGACGGACAUGGUGUCGAGCUCGUCGGCCAUGCCUCCGACGCUGGCGAUCAGGAGGAACAUGAGCGCCGUCCAGACGGCCGUCACGCCAAGCGCCGUGAGGGCGAGCGUGCGGGUGGCGCUCCGGGCCUGGGCCCUGGUGCGGCAGGUGGGGUGGGGGAGGGGCAGCGCGCCGCCGCGGAUGGCCCGCUCUGUGCCGGCGCCGAGGCGGUGCAGGGCGAGCGCGUACCCGAAGUAGGCGGCGGCGUAGACGGUGGUCAGGUGGAGGGCCAGGAUGGCGGCGCGGGGACCGAUCUCGCUGGCGGCGGAGGAGGCCAGCAGGAGGCCGUAGGAGAGGCGGGCCAGGUCGGUGUAGAACGGCCAGCUGCGCCAGAUGCACUGCAGGAGGAGGAACACGUACGCGCAGAUGGUGACGGCCAUGAUCCACACCUGGGACAUGGGGUGCCCGUCGUAGCGCACCAGCAGCACGGCCGGGACGGCCACGGCGAACGCCGCUGUGAAGCCCAGCAACGCGACGGCGAGGAUCACCUUCACCUGCACCAGGCCGGGGUCCAGCCGCCUGAAGCGCUCCAGCAAGGUGGAGCGUAUGCUCAUGUCGACGGCGGCCAUGGCCACGGAAGUCGAUCCUCCCCACGCUUUUUCUUUUCACUUUACCCUUUGUUCGUUCAAGAAAAGAUAAGGACGGGAUUCCUUUCUUUUCCUAACAAAAAACAAGACGAGCACAACAAAUUUCCCUUACUUUAGCAACAGACACCAUCACAUUGCAGCAAAUGGAUUACUAUGUACUAGUACAAAUGCCAGUGCGUUGCACCGGGUGAUAAAAGUGAUAUAACCUGCUUGAUGGUUCAUUUUUCACCAUAUUUUGUAUCCAAUUUUAAUAAAUGUCAAAUGUGGAAAUUUCCCUUUUUCUAAUAAAACUUUAACAUUUCAUUAAAAUUGUAAUACCUUUUGAAGAAUAGUUAACAUCUAUAUGAAAAUUGGAACAGACUAUAUAAAAUAAAAAAGAAAUUAAAGAAUGUAUUUCUGUUGUAUAUUUCGAAAUGGUUUUUGUAGUAAGAAGUUUUUUUGGGGUAAUUUUUAAGUGUUUUUAAAAAAUAAAAACAUAUUUGUUUGAAAUAUUUUUAAACUAUUUUUUUGUGUUAAACUUUUUGGGCAUUUUUGUUUGGUAAUUUUUACAGAUAGUUGGUUGUUUGGUUGGGAAGUUUUUUUUUAACUAUUUGGGCUUGCCUAAACAAAAUAGUUAACAUACACAGAAGGACCCAUGGACUCAUCUUCGUACCGCUUCGGUCGAUGCUCUCCGGCUUGUAGGACGGAGCCCGUAAAAGGAGCCCACGGAGAAGGACAAUGUAAUAUCCGAGAUGGUGGUUGGGGACGGGCUGAAUGACCUCUAGGGCAGUGGAUGCGGGCCGGCGGCGUGAUGAAGGAGAAGGGUGAACGACGGCGACGACGCAGACGCGGGAAAUAAUGGACGAACACGAGAGGAUGGCGGUGCGUUUGAUGGACUAGGUCAUUUUGGUGGAAUAGGCGUUGGGUAUGGCCCGUCUGGUCCGACGUGGCGGACGCGCCCGAGCAUGCCCGGGCCUCCCCAUACCCGGCGUAGAUUUCGGCUGAAUAUGAGAGGUGCCGGUCAACCUAGACGUAUAGAGCCAGUAUGAGGCUUCCGUCUUAAUCCAUUUUUUAUCGGGUCGUCCCAGACUUAUGGGGAAGGGGGUUUGGGGAGCGGUGCGGGGUGCGGGGUGCGGGGUGCCCUAUCUGUGCAUGCGAGUUGGAGACUGCUGAUCAUCUAAUCUUUGAGUGUCCGUUUGCUCAUUCCUUCCAGCGAAUGGUGGGGGUCGGCGUCAAGGACAAUGCAUUAUUCCGCGUGGAUGCCCUACAAGCCCUUGAUGUUAGCCCCGUGGUUGGGGGCGCUUCACCUACCACGUUCACACUCCUGUGCUGCUGGCAGCUGUGGAAGCACGGGAAUUCUGUGGUGUUCCGAGCCCAGACGCCAUCCCUCGCCCUCGUGCUUGGUUGCUGCAGGGAGGACGACGUCCUCUGGCAUGGGCAUCUGAAGAGGGAGGUGUGGUCCGACGCUGAUGUUUGGCUACAGGCGCUCAGCUCCCCUCUCUCUCGCUCUCCCUCCUACACUCUCGCUUGUGACUUCCCCGUCCCUGUGAGUGCUAUAAAAUCAAUAGAUAAAAUGAUUCAGGUGGGGGUCUUUGCCCCUCCCUAGUGACCUUACAAAAAAUCAACGGUUGUAGAAUGCUUUGUGGAAGUUAAAUGUGCUACCUAAAGUGAGAGUAUUCUUCUGGCGUGUUCUUAGGGGCAUUGUCGGUGUCAAAACCGGCGGAUCUCGGGUAGGGGGUCCCGAUCUGUGCGUCUAGGCGGAUGGUAACAGGAGACGAGGGACACGAUGUUUUUACCCAGGUUCGGGCCCUCUUGAUGGAGGUAAAACCCUACGUCCUGCUUGAUUAAUAUUGAUGAUGUGGGUUACAAGAGUAGAUCUACCACGAGAUCAAGGAGGCUAAACCCUAGAAGCUAGCCUAUGGUAUGAUUGUUGUUCGUCCUAUGGACUAAAGCCAUCCGGUUUAUAUAGACACCGGAGAGGGCUAGGGUAACACAGAGUCGGUUACAAUGGUAGGAGAUCUACAUAUCCGUAUCGCCAAGCUUGCCUUCCACGCCAAGGAAAGUCCCAUCCGGACACGGGACGAAGUCUUCAAUCUUGUAUCUUCAUAGUCUUGGAGUCCGGCCGAUGAUGCUAGUUCGGCUAUCCGGACACCCUCUAGUCUGGAACUCCCUCAGUAGCCCCUGAACCAGGCUUCAAUGACAACGAGUCCGGCGCGCAUGUUGUCUUCGGCAUUGCAAGGCGGGUUCUCCCUCCGAAUAAUUCAUAGAAGAUUGUGAACACCAGGAUAGUGUCCGGCUCUGCAAAAUAAUUUCCACAUACCACCGUAGAGAGAAUAAUAUUUACACAAGUUCAAUCUGCUGACGUAUUUGAUGGCGUGACGUCACACCACUACCAAGCCUUUACUUAAAUUGUCUUUAUUGUACCACCUCAGCGUGUUUAGCGAAGCCGUUUCCUUGGCACGUCUUGUCGAAGCAGAGAUCGUGUUCCUCUUAUUCCAGGAUUCCCAUCAAUACGGACGUGGGUAACCCAACCGCGCCCGUCGCCACGCCCCCUCCAUCGAAGGCGGGUUCCAAACGGUCACGGAGACGGCUCUCGGUAUUCUUCCUCUUUAUAAUGAGACCAAGGCCGGUUCUUUUCCUUCAAUCCUCAAUCGAAUCCGCCCCUCGCCCCCGAGUUCCAACACCCAGGGCUCCAGAUUCGGGUACCUUUGACCUUCGACAAUGUCCAGCUCCGACCCACCGGGCCGGUGGAUGCCCUCCUCCGUCACGGAAGAAGACGUGUUGAAGCUGAGAGACGCCAGGUAUUUGACCUAUGAGAUUUCGCAUAGGUUGCCUGCCCGAGGGCAAGUUAUCCCUACUCCCGAGCCCGGCGAGAGCGUUGUGUUUGUGUCUCACCUCCGUAGGGGUUUAGGCUUCCCGAUGGACCCCUUCGUGAGGGGGCUCAUGUUUUACUAUGGGCUGGAAUUCCAUGACUUGGCUCCGGAGUCCAUCCUCCACAUCUCAUCGUUUAUUGUCGUUUGCGAAGCUUUUCUCCGCACUACCCCUCACUUCGGCUUGUGGCUCAAAACCUUCAAUGUGGAGCCGAAGAUGAUCGAGGGGCGUCAGGCAGAGUGCGGAGGGGCGUUUAUAAGCAAGAGGGUCGAUGCUCCAUGGCCCGAGGGCUCUUUUCAAGAGGAGCUCGACAUGUGGCAACAGGAGUGGUUCUAUAUCACCGCUCCCAGGGGCAGCAGGCAGAGGCCGCUGCCCGUCUUCCGCUCGGGCCCUCCACAACAGUUGACGUCAUGGGUCAACAUGGGGCGUGACUGGGGGCCGCCUAAAGACGUACCCCUUUUGCAGGACCGGAUUCGAGGCCUCCAAGAAAGGGAGAUCAAUCUAGUCGCAGUAGUACAGGUUAUGUUGGUCCGGCGCCUACUGCCCUGCAAACGUCGCCCCCUCCGCCUGUGGGAAUUUAAUCCGGAGGGGCCACGAGCUCUUCAACACUUUAUGGAUUUGACACCCAUGGAGAUGUACAAACUGUUCUUCGGAUCGCAAGAGAUGCGUUCGGACUUGACCGAGGACGCUGGCCUAAGCUGCAAUCGCCCGGAUACUCAAGUAAGUAGCCCUGUGUCCGGACACACUAUCCACUUAUUUAUCGUGGGUUUGCCCUUUAACCAGCUAUCCCUUGAACAGGAGUGGAUAGCGCUAGCGAAACUGAUACGGUGUCCGGCCCCCCUCCCUGAGACCAUGAAAGAUCCCGUGUUAAUCAAAAUGUUGGAAGUUGCGCCCUCAGAGGAGGGCGAAGGGGGGCACAGGGGAACUACCACCUCUGCCAAGGAGCCUUUCAGUAAGGGAGGAAUCGAGAGUCCCUCCUUCCAGGGGGAUAAGAGGACAGCUUCCGAAAACCCGGAGGCCAAGGCCUCGAAGCGGGGAAAGAAAUCUGUGCCGGAAGGUCCUGUGCCGGGGAGAGCCCCGGCCGCACUGUCUCCUCGGAGGAAUCAGCCCUCCAGCGAGCCGUAAGUAAAAAAGGAGGAAUUUUGUAAUAGUGGAUACCCCUGCUUAAUUUUUGAGGGUAACCGAAGUUUUCAUCUUGUAGUUCGGAUCUCAGCCUGUCUCAGCGCAGCUCAUCUUCGGGGGACCUUCGUCCGGAGAUGAUGGAGAGUGAAACGCCUCCAUCUUCCGCCCCAUCGUACGGGGCGGACGACCCUGAGGUGUCGUCGCGCAGGGUCUCCCCGAGUCCGGCGGGGCCUGAGAGUUCGGCACCCACUGGAGUACGGUCGGGGGAACUGCAGGAUUUGUUGGAAAUAUGCCCUAGAGGCAAUAAUAAAAGUAUUAUUAUUAUAUUUCCUUGUUCAUGAUAAUUGUCUUUUAUUCAUGCUAUAACUGUAUUAUCCGGAAAUCGUAAUACACGUGUGAAUACAUAGACCACAAUAUGUCCCUAGUGAGCCUCUAGUUGACUAGCUCGUUGUGAUCAACAGAUAGUCAUGGUUUCCUGGCUAUGGACAUUGGAUGUCGUUGAUAACGGGAUCACAUCAUUAGGAGAAUGAUGUGAUGGACAAGACCCAAUCCUAAGCAUAGCACAAAGAUCGUGUAGUUCGUUUGCUAGAGCUUUGCCAAUGUCAAGUAUCUCUUCCUUUGACCAUGAGAGCGUGUAACUCCUGGAUACCGUAGGAGUGCUUUGGGUGUAUCAAAUGUCACAACGUAACUGGGUGACUAUAAAGGUGCACUACAGGUAUCUCCGAAAGUAUCUAUUGUUUUAUGCGGAUCGAGACUGGGAUUUGUCACUCCGUGUAAACGGAGAGGUAUCUCUGGGCCCACUCGGUAGGACAUCAUCACAUGCGCAAUGUGACCAAGGAGUUGAUCACGGGAUGAUGUGUUACGGAACGAGUAAAGUGACUUGCCGGUAACGAGAUUGAACAAGGUAUUGGAUACCGACGAUCGAAUCUCGGGCAAGUAACAUACCGAUAGACAAAGGGAAUUGAAUACGGGAUUGAUUAAGUCCUUGACAUCGUGGUUCAUCCGAUGAGAUCAUCGUGGAACAUGUGGGAGCCAUCAUGGGUAUCUAGAUCCCGCUGUUGGUUAUUGACCGGAGAACGUCUCGGUCAUGUCUGCAUGCCUCCCGAACCCGUAGGGUCUACACACUUAAGGUUCGAUGACGCUAGGGUUAUAAAGGAAGUUUGUAUGUGGUUACCGAAUGUUGUUCGGAGUCCCGGAUGAGAUCCCGGACGUCACGAGGAGUUCCGGAAUGGUACGGAGGUAAAGAUUUAUAUAUGGGAAGUCCUGUUUUGGUCACCGGAAAAGUUUCGGGCGAUAUCGGUAUUGUGCCGGGACCACCUGGAGGGUCCCGGGGGUCCACCAAGUGGGGCCACCUGCCCCAGAAGGUUGCGUGGGCCAAGUGUGGGAGGGGACCAGCCCCUAGGAGGGCUGGUGCGCCCCCCACAAGGGGGCCAAGGCGCAAGGGAGAGUGGGAGGGGGCAAACCCUAGUCCAGAUGGGCCUUAAGGCCCAUAUUGGUGCGCCUCCCUCUCCUCUCCCCUCUUGGCCGCCUCCCCUUUGCCAUCUAGGGCUGGCCGCACCCCUUGGGGGUGGGAAACCCUAAAGGGGGCGCAGCCCCCCCUUCCCCCUAUAUAUAGAUGAGGUUUGGGGCUGCCAUACACAUGAGAAAUUCUUCCUCUUGGUGCAGCCCUGCCUCUCUCCCUACUCCUCCUCUCCCAUGGUGCUUGGCGAAGCCCUGCUGGAUUGCCACGCUCCUCCACCACCACCACGCUGUUGUGCUGCUGCUGGAUGGAGUCUUCCUCAACCUCUCCCUCUCUCCUUGCUGGAUCAAGGCGUGGGAGACGUCACCGGGCUGUACGUGUGUUGAACGCGGAGGUGCCGUGCGUUCGGCACUUGAUCAUCGGUGAUUUGAAUCACGACGAGUACGACUCCAUCAACCCCGUUCACUUGAACGCUUCCGCUUAGCGAUCUACAAGGGUAUGUAGAUGCACUCUCUUUCUACUCGUUGCUGGUCUCUCCAUAGAUAGAUCUUGGUGACACGUAGGAAAAUUUUGAAUUUCUGUUACGUUCCCCAACAGUGGCAUCAUGAGCUAGGUCUAUUGCGUAGAUUCUUUGCACGAGUAGAACACAAAGUAGUUGUGGGCGUUGAUGUUGUUCAAUAUGCUUAUCGUUACUAGUCCAAUCUUGUUCCGACGGUAUUGUGGGAUGAAGCGGCCCGGACCGACCUUACACGUACUCUUACGUGAGACAGGUUCCACCGAUUGACAUGCACUUGGUGCAUAAGGUGGCUAGCGGGUGCCAGUCUCUCCCACUUUAGUCGGAACGGAUUCGAUGAAAAGGGUCCUUAUGAAGGGUAAAUAGCAAUUGGCAUAUCACGUUGUGGUCUUGCGUAGGUAAGAAACGUUCUUGCUAGAAACCCAUAGCAGCCACGUAAAACAUGCAACAACAAUUAGAUGACGUCUAACUUGUUUUUGCAGGGUAUGCUUUGUGAUGUGAUAUGUCCAGAAGAAUGUGAUGAAUGAUAUGUGAUGUAUGAGAUUGAUCAUGUUCUUGUAAUAGGAAUCACGACUUGCAUGUCGAUGAGUAUGACAACCGGCAGGAGCCAUAGGAGUUGUCUUUAUUAUUGUAUGACCUGCGUGUCAUUGAAGAACGCCAUGUAACUUACUUUACUUUAUUGCUAAACACGUUAGCCAUAGAAGUAGAAGUAGUCGUUGGCGUGACAACUUCAUGAAGACACGAUGAUGGAGAUCAUGAUGAUGGAGAUCAUGGUGUCAUGCCGGUGACAAGAUGAUCAUGGAGCCCCGAAGAUGGAGAUCAAUGGAGCUAUAUGAUAUUGGCCAUAUCAUGUCACAACUAUAUAAUUGCAUGUGAUGUUUAUUAUGAUUAUGCAUCUUGUUUACUUAGGACGACGGUAGUAAAUAAGAUGAUCCCUUACAAAAUUUCAAGAAGUGUUCUCCCCUAACUGUGCACCGUUGCUACAGUUUGUCGCUUCUAAGCACCACGUGAUGAUCGGGUGUGAUGGAUUCUUACGUUCACAUACAACGGGUGUAAGACAGUUUUACACAGCGAAAACACUUAGGGUUAACUUGACGAGCCUAGCAUGUGCAGACAUGGCCUCGGAACACGGAGACCGAAAGGUCGAGCAUGAGUCGUAUAGUAGAUACGAUCAACAUGAAGAUGUUCACCGAUGAUGACUAGUCUGUCUCACGUGAUGAUCGGACACGGCCUAGUUGACUCGGAUCAUGUAAUCACUUAGAUGACCAGAGGGAUGUCUAUCUGAGUGGGAGUUCAUAAGAUGAACUUAAUUAUCCUGAACAUAGUCAAAAGACCUUUUGCAAAUUAUGUCGUAGCUCACGCUUUAGUUCCACUGUUUAGAUAUGAUCCUAGAGAAAAUAUAGUUGAAAGUUGACAGUAGCGAUUAUGCGGACAGUACAAAGCUUAUGUCCUUAAUGCACUGCUCAGUGUGCUGAACCCCAAACGUCGUUUGUGGAUGUUUCGAACAUCGAACAUACACGUUUUGAUAACUACGUGAUAGUUCAGUUAAAUGGUUUAAGUAGAGGCACCAAAGACGUUUUCGAAACAUCGCGGAACAUAUGAGAUGUUUCGAGGGCUGAAAUUGGGAUUUCAGGCUCGUGCUCACGUCAAGAGGUAUAAGACCUCCGACAAUUUUCUUAGCCUACAAACUAAGGGAGAAAAGCUCAAUCGUUGAGCUUGUGCUCAGAUUGUCUGAGUGCAACAAUCACUUGAAUCGAGUGGGAGUUGAUCUUCCAAAUGAGAUAGUGAUGUUUCUCCAAAGUCAUUGCCACCAAGCUGCUAGAGCUUCGUGAUGAACUAUAACAUAUCAGGGAUAGAUAUGAUGAUCCUUGAAAUAUUCAUGAUGUUUGACACCGCGAAAGUAGAAAUCAAGAAGGAGCAUCAAUUGUUGAUGGUUGGUGAAACCACUAGUUUGAAGAAGGGCAAGGGAACAAAGGGAUACUUCAUGAAACGGCAAUUCAGCUGCUGCUCUAGUGAAGAAACCCAAGGUUGAACCCAAACCCGAGACUAAGUGCUUCUGUAAUAAGGGGAACAACCACUGGAGCAGCAUUACCCUAGAUACUUGGUAGAUGAGAAGGCUGGCAAGGUCGAUAGAAGUAUAUUGGAUAUACAUUAUGUUAAUGUGUACUUUACUAGUACUCCUAGUAGCACCAGGGUAUUGGAUACCGGUUCGGUUGCUAAGUGUUAGUAACUCGAAAUAAAAGCUACGGAUUAAACGGAGACUAGCUAAAGGUGAGCUGACGAUAUAUGUUGGAAGUGUUUCCAAGGUUGAUAUGAUCAAGCAUCGCACGCUCCCUCUACCACCGAGAUUGGUGUUUGCGUUGAGCAUAGACAUGAUUGGAUUAUGUCUAUCGCAAUACGGUUAUUCAUUUAAGGAGAAUAAUGGUUACUCUAUUUUUGAAUAAUACCUUCAAUGGUCUUGCACCUAAAGGAAUGAUUUAUUGAAUCUCGAUCGUAGUGAUACACAUUUUCAUGCCAAAAGAUAUAAGAUAGUAAUGAUAGUACCACUUACUUGUGGCACUGCCAUGUAAGUCAUAUUGGUGUAAAACGCAUGAAGAAGCUCCAUGUUGAUGGAUCUUUGGACUCACUCGUUUUUGAAAAGUUUGAGACAUGCGAACCAUGUCUAUUGGUGUAUAUGCAUGAAGAAACUCCAUGCAAAUGGAUCGUUCGGACUCACUUGAUUUUGAAUCACUUGAGAUAUGCAAAUCAUACCACAUGGGCAAGAUGACUGAAAAGCCUCAUUUUCAGUAAGAUGGAACAAGAUAGCAAUUUGUUGGAAGUAACACAUUUUGAUGUGUGCAAUCCAAUGAGUGCUGAGGCAUGCAGUGAAUAUCGUUAUGAUCUUACUUCACAGAUGAUUCGAGUAGAUGUUGAGAAUAUUUACUUGAUGAAACACAAGUCUGAAUUAUUGAAUGGUUCAAGUAAUUUCAGAGUGAAGUAGCAGAUCAUUGUGACAAGAGGAUAAAAUGUCUAUGAUAUGAUCAUAGAGAUGAAUAUCUGAGUUACGAGUUUUGGCACACAAUUAAGACAUUGUGGAAAUUGUUUCGCAAUUAAUAUCGCCUGGAACACCAUAAUGUGAUGGUGUGUCCGAACAUCAUAGUUGCACCCUAUUGGAUAUGGUGCGUACCAUGAUGUCUCUUAUCGAAUUACCACUAUCAUUCAUGGAUUAGGCAUUAGAGACAACCACAUUCACUUUAAAUAGGGCACCACGUAAUUCCGUUGAGAUGACACCGUAUGAAUUAUGGUUUAGAGAAACCUAAGUUGUCGUUUCUUAAAGGUUUGGGGCUGCGACGCUUAUGUGAAAAAUUUCAGGAUUGAUAAGCUCGAACCCAAAGCGGAUAAAAUACAUCUUCAUAGGACACCCAAAACAGUUGGGUAUACCUCCUAAUUCAGAUUCGAAAGCAAUAAGGGAUUGUUUCUUGAAUCGGGUCCUUUCUCAAGGAAAGGUUUCUCUCGAAAGAGUUGAGUGGGAGGAUGGUGGAGACUUGAUGAGGUUAUUGAACCGUCACUUCAACAAGUGUGUAGCAGGGCACAGGAAGUUGUUCCUGUGGCACCUACACCAAUUGAAGUGGAAGCUUAUGAUAGUGAUCAUGAAGCUUCGGAUCAAGUCACUACCGUACCUCGUAGGGUGACAAGGAUACGUACUACUUCAGAGUGGUACGGUAAUCCUGUCUUGGAAGUCAUGUUGCUAGACAACAAUGAACCUACGAACUAUGGAGAAGCGAUGGUGGGCCCGGAUUCCGAUAAAUGGCUUGAGGCCAUAAAAUACGAGAGAGGAUCCAUGUAUGAAAACAAAGUGUAGACUUUGGCAGAACGGCUCGAUGGUCGUAAGGCUAAUGAGUACAGAUGGAUUUCAAAAGGAAGACGGGCAAUGAUGGUAAAUGUCACCAUUAAGAAAGCUCGACUUGUCGUUAAGAUGUUUCCUGACAAGUUCAAGGAGUUGACUACGGUGAGACUUUCUCACUCGUAGCGAUGCUAAGAGUCUGUUGGAAUUAUAUUAGCGAUUACUGCAUUAUUUAUGAAAUCUUGCAGAUAGGAUGUCAAAACAUUGUUUCCUCGACGAUUUUCUUGAGGAAAGGUUGUAUGUGAUACAAUCAGAAAAGGUUUUGUCGAUCCUAAGAAUGCUAAAAGGUAUGCUGGCUCCAGCAAUCCUUCUAAGGACUGGAGUAAGCAUCUCGGAGUUGGAAUGUACGCUUUGAUAAGAUGAUCAAAGAUUUUGGGUCUAUACAAAGUUUAUGAGAAACUUGUAUUUCCAAAGAAGUGAGUGGGAGCACUAUAGAAUUUCUGAUAAGUAUAUGUUGUUGACAUAUUGUUAUGGAUCAGAAAUGACGUAGAAUUUCUAGAAAGCAUAUAGGGUUAUUUGGAAAGUGUUUUUCAAUAGAAAACCUGGAUUAAGCUACUUGAACAUUGAGCAUCAUGAUCUAUAAGGAUAGAUCAAAAUGCUUAAUAAUACUUUCAAAUGAGCACAUACCUUGACAUGAUCUUGAAGGUGUUCAAGAUGGACCAGUCAAAGAAGGAGUUCUUGCCUGAGUUGUAAGGUACGAAGUUAAGACUUAAAGCUCGACCACGGCAGAAUAGAGAGAAAGGACGAAGGUCGUCCCCUAUGCUUAAGACGUAGGCUCUUCAGUAUGCUAUGCUGUGUACCGCACAUGAAGUGUGCCUUGCCAUGAGUUAGUCAAGGGGUACAAGAGUGAUCCAAGAAUGGAUCACAGACAGCGGUCAAAGUUAUCCUUAGUAACUAGUGGACUAAGGAAUUUUCUCGAUUAUGGAGGUGGUAAAAGAGUUCGUCGUAAAGGUUACGUCGAUGCAAGCUUAACACCUAUCCGGAUAGCUCUAAGUAGAGAUACCGGAUACGUAUUAUGGGGCAACAAUUUAGAAUAGCUCCAAGUGGAACAGUUAUUUGGAAUAGCUCCAAAUAGAGCGUGGUAGCUGCAUCUAGGAGAUGACAUAGAGAUUUGUAAAGCACACACGGAUCUGAAAGGUUCAGACCCGUUGACUAAAACCUCUCUCACAAGCAACAUGAUCAAACAUAAAACUCAUUGAGUGUUAAUCACAUAGUGAUGUGAACUAGACUACUGACUCUAGUAAACUCUUGGGUAUUAGUCACAUGGCGAUGUGACCUGUGAGUGUUAAUCACAUGGCGAUGUGAACUAGAUUAUUGACUCUAGUGCAAGUGGGAGACUGUUGGAAAUAUGCCCUAGAGGCAAUAAUAAAAGUGUUAUUAUUAUAUUUCCUUGUUCAUGAUAAUUGUCUUUUAUUCAUGCUAUAACUGUAUUAUCCGGAAAUCGUAAUACACGUGUGAAUACAUAGACCACAAUAUGUCCCUAGUGAGCCUCUUGUUGACUAGCUCGUUGUGAUCAACAGAUAGUCAUGGUUUCCUGGCUAUGGACAUUGGAUGUCGUUGAUAACGGGAUCACAUCAUUAGGAGAAUGAUGUGAUGGACAAGACCCAAUCCUAAGCAUAGCACAAAGAUCGUGUAGUUCGUUUGCUAGAGCUUUGCCAAUGUCAAGUAUCUCUUCCUUUGACCAUGAGAUCGUGUAACUCCUGGAUACCGUAGGAGUGCUUUGGGUGUAUCAAACGUCACAACGUAACUGGGUGACUAUAAAGGUGCACUACAGGUAUCUCCGAAAGUAUCUAUUGUUUUAUGCGGAUCGAGACUGGGAUUUGUCACUCCGUGUAAACGGAGAGGUAUCUCUGGGCCCACUCGGUAGGACAUCAUCACAUGCGCAAUGUGACCAAGGAGUUGAUCACGGGAUGAUGUGUUACGGAACGAGUAAAGUGACUUGCCGGUAACGAGAUUGAACAAGGUAUUGGAUACCGACGAUCGAAUCUCGGGCAAGUAACAUACCGAUAGACAAAGGGAAUUGAAUACGGGAUUGAUUAAGUCCUUGACAUCGUGGUUCAUCCGAUGAGAUCAUCAUGGAACAUGUGGGAGCCAUCAUGGGUAUCCAGAUCCCGCUGUUGGUUAUUGACCGGAGAACGUCUCGGUCAUGUCUGCAUGCCUCCUGAACCCGUAGGGUCUACACACUUAAGGUUCGAUGACGCUAGGGUUAUAAAGGAAGUUUGUAUGUGGUUACCGAAUGUUGUUCGGAGUCCCGGAUGAGAUCCCGGACGUCACGAGGAGUUCCGGAAUGGUCCGGAGGUAAAGAUUUAUAUAUGGGAAGUCCUGUUUUGGUCAUCGGAAAAGUUUCGGGCGAUAUCGGUAUUGUACCGGGACCACCGGGAGGGUCCCGGGGGUCCACCAAGUGGGGCCACCUGCCCCAGAAGGUUGCGUGGGCCAAGUGUGGGAGGGGACCAGCCCCUAGGAGGGCUGGUGCGCCCCCCACAAGGGGGCCAAGGCGCAAGGGAGAGUGGGAGGGGGCAAACCCUAGUCCAGAUGGGCCUUAAGGCCCAUAUUGGUGCGCCUCCCUCUCCUCUCCCCUCUUGGCCGCCUCCCCUUUGCCAUCUAGGGCUGGCCGCACCCCUUGGGGGUGGGAAACCCUAAAGGGGGCGCAGCCCCCCCUUCCCCCUAUAUAUAGAUGAGGUUUGGGGCUGCCAUACACAUGAGAAAUUCUUCCUCUUGGUGCAGCCCUGCCUCUCUCCCUACUCCUCCUCUCCCAUGGUGCUUGGCGAAGCCCUGUUGGAUUGCCACGCUCCUCCACCACCACCACGCCGUUGUGCUGCUGCUGGAUGGAGUCUUCCUCAACCUCUCCCUCUCUCCUUGCUGGAUCAAGGCGUGGGAGACGUCACUGGGCUGUACGUGUGUUGAACGCGGAGGUGCCGUGCGUUCGGCACUUGAUCAUCGGUGAUUUGAAUCACGACGAGUACGACUCCAUCAACCCCGUUCACUUGAACGCUUCCGCUUAGCAAUCUACAAGGGUAUGUAGAUGCACUCUCUUUCUACUCGUUGCUGGUCUCUCCAUAGAUAGAUCUUGGUGACACGUAGGAAAAUUUUGAAUUUCUGUUACAUUCCCCAACAGGAUUUGCUUAAGAGGGCGUCCAUCUCGGAAGAUCACCGCACAUUAAUGAGUACGGUUAUUGAAAGGAUCUUUUCCACCGAGAGCGGGUUGUACGAGGCCGUCAGAACCUUGCUGACGGGCUUUGAGGUAUGCAAAAAAUAACGUACCUUUUGACAGUUUUGCACAUGAAGUGCACCCUGUAUAGAUAGUAGCCCCUGAGACUUGGUAUGUUGUCAAAAGUGAUAGCGUGCCAAGGAUCGUAAUCUCAGUUAUAGAAUGCCGCCUUUUCUAUGCAGGUGGUGGAUCGUCUGGUGGCCAGCCGGACUGAUGGAUUUGCCGAGCUGAGAAGGCAACUCGUCGUUGCGGAUGCGGACAUCUCGCUGGUCAAUAAACGACUUGAUGAGUCACAAGGUACAUGGUUGCUCCGCGGUUGCCUAGUAAGGGAGCUGACGCCCGUGCCUUACAAUUUGUAUGCUUGAUGAAGAUGGCGCUGCUGCUAUGGAAGGCCUUCGAGCCGAACUUGCUCGGGCCAAGGAGCAAGCCAGAAAAAGCGAGGCGGCUGCCUCGAAGGCAGCGGAAGAGCUAGAAGCCGAGAAGGCUGCUCACUGCCGAAGCAGGGAGGAGAUGGCCGGUAUGGCCGCGAAAUUAAAAGUUGCUACCGACCGCCAGGAAGUUCUUGAAAGAGAACGUCGAGCGGAACAGGAGGACCUGAAGAAGGCCGACGCCGAAGCCAAGGAUGCCCGUAGUGCGAUGCGGGCUAUGAAGGAGGAACUGCGUCAAAUCCGAGACAUUGUGGCUGGAAAGCCCUUUAUGCUGCGCAGGAAGUUCACGGAUCCGAAGUAUGCUCAGCUUGGCCGAUUGUAUGGUGCGGAGGAUUCUUAUCUGGACUUGGCAGCGAGUGCGGCGGACGCAGUCGUGCACUUCCGAGGCCAGAAGGGUCACAAAAUGGAAGAGCUUUUUUGGUCUCAAUUCCAUAGUCCGGAGCGUCAAGUUCCGCUGAGUGAUCGGCUGGUUGAGUGGGCUGAGCUAAAUAGAUUGUCUGGACUUGCCAUGACGGAUGUGGUCACUCAUCUGUGGCCGGGAAGACCCAAGCCGAAGAGUUAUUUUGGCUUGUUGCAGCAAUUCCUUGGGGCGGUGCCGCGUAUUGGGGCGAUGAAGCGGUCGGCAUGUAUAGAAGGUGCGCGGAUGGCUCUUGCCCGUGGUAAGACAUACUGGGCUGAGAUGGAUGCCACCGCUGUUGCAUCCCGGGGUUCGGAUAGAAGCCGGUUCCCCACCAAGCACUAUUUUGAGGAAGUCCUGCAGGGCGCUCGUUUAAUAGAGUCACAGUGCUCAAAAAAUGUUAUGUUUGAGUGACAUGUAUGAUUUCUGAGAUCAUGUUUAUAAUACAAUAUCUUUUUAUACUUGUGAGCUCAAGUAUUGAACUAUCUCCUGUGCGGCCGUAUGUUUAUGUAUAAUCUGAAAGAUGGCAGUCUUUGGCUUCAGCCCCCACGCACAUGGUGCGGGGGUGUUUGCAAAAAGAAAAACGCUUUGUCACACUUAAUCCAACGUCUUGGUCCUUUUAAGGAGGUGAUAGCGUAGCAAACUAGGCAACCGGACUAUAAUGCUUUAUCACUUUCACUUAGCCAUAGGAGCUCGAACGUGGGGCUACUAUAUAGCCCCUAGCGGCACCGCUCAUCUCCGAACUCGGGGUGCGUAUGUGCCUGACCGGGAAGCGUUCCUUCGUCAAAGCGGAGGAAUUCUAAACAUUCCAAUUGUCGAUCGAGUGGUUGACCAGACUCUCGCUAUAUCAUGACAGUCAGUUUUCGGCUUUCUCUACUGAGGUGCUCGCCCGGCCGAACCGGGGCACAAUCGCAGUAAUUCUCCUGGUGCCGCGUUAGCCGGUGAUACGGAACGUAAGGCAGCAAAACACAGGAGCCGGGCAAACCCAACAUUUGACCAAAGACAUGAUUCGGAGCUGAUGCAUAUAAGGCCUAAUUCGAGACGCCGAACACUCCCUGAGGUGUUCGGUCUUUAUGAUACCGGGCAGAACAAUGCCCUAAGCCCCUAGUGUCCAGGUACAGACGGGAACUUCUGACGCGGUCGAUGCCAAAACGCCAGCCUCCUCCUCGGCUAUGGUAGGAAACCGGGUGAUGUGUAUCAACAAGAGACACUAAGAAAGGUUUACACAGGGUCUUAAUCUGAAAAGAAUCCUUGCAACAGGUCCCUGCUGCACGUCUGCGCCUGUGUCUCCGUUGUGCUGUGUCCUGGACGGGUGUAGCACGUGCUUCAUCUGUAAAAUAGAAGGACUUAGUUUCUAAGAAAUAUCAUGCAAAAGUUAAGUUAAAAUAGAGGAUAAUUUGGUAGAUAAAGAAAGUUGAGCUUUAUUGGCUCUCAUUAUUGAAACAUGCGGCCCCUUAUAAAGGGGGUAUGCGGCUGGGAAGCCCCUUGUUUAUUCACGCCGGACUCGCCUAACCGUGUCCGGGGUCUGAAUGACCCAUAUUUAGGGGCCUUGACCUGCAAGGUCGGAGUGGCUGUCAAAGCAGCCCCGCGCUCUCCGUGGUCGAGGAACACUCGUGGUUACUCUUUAAUGAGAUUAUGCCGCGUUAACCGGGCAUUGUAGGUAUAGGAGCCGUGUAGUGUGGUAAGGCGUUAAAGCGGGCGAAAGCUUUGUGUCCCAGUAGUGCUUGAUGGCAACUGUGUAAUGGGGCGCGGCGAAGAGUGAGCCUUUCGUGACGGCGGUUGUCGGAUGAGUCAAACACAACCACUAGUGGUACAGAGCCCGUAUAGUUGGAUUAAAGGCCUGGCGUCGCUCCUUUGAAGGGAGUGCUGUUAUGGCGAAUGUUGGUAGGGUCUAUCCCCAUUCUGCGGACAGUGUCCUGACAUGGCAGGAGCCGCGCUUUGUUGUCAUGUUAUCACAUGAAGUGAGUUCACUGUUUUGACUUCUAGUAGGAAAGUCUUCUGUUUUCCGGAGUGCUGCUUUUGGGGUUCGUCACUUUCGCUUGGUGUAUCGAGCCCCUUGUGUUCGGCGUUAAGUCUACCGCACUGCUUGAAGACCCAACAAUCUCUGUGGAUAUGGUUUGCAGGCUUUCCGGAGGUACCAUGUAUUUGACAUAGUCUGUUUAGGAUCUUGUUUAGGUUGGAUAGCUCGUCACUGUUGUCCUUGAGGGACAAUGUUUUGUUGUUCGGCCGAGAGUUUUUGAAUCCGGCGUUGACCGCCGUACUGUUUGGGCCAUUUUCCUUAUUCCGGCGCUGGUCCUUUCUGCGUCGAGAUUUCCAAUUUCCAUCCCUGACUUCGGAUGUACUCGGGUCGCUGGUGCUGCAUCUAGCCAGCCAGCUGUCUUCCCCGCGCAAAAGCGGGUCAUGAGGCUUGUUAGUGUGGCCAUUAUUCUUGGUUUUCCUGGCCGAGGUGUCUGGCGAGCCAUUCGUCUUGGACGUUGUGUUUAAAGGCUGCUAAAGCUUCAGCGUCUGGACAGUCGACUAUUUGGUUCUUUUUAGUGAGGAACCUGUUCCAGAAUUUGCAUGCUGACUCUCCGGGCUGUUGAGUUAUGUAACUUAAAUCGUCUGCAUUCGGAGGGCGGACAUAAGUCCCCUGAAAAUUUGCUCGAAACGCGUCUUCAAGCUCUUCCCAACUUCCAAUGGUAUUUUCUGGGAGGCUUUUAAGCCAAUGCCGAGCUGGCCCUUUGAGCUUGAGGGGUAGGUAUUUUAUCGCAUGGAGAUCAUCUCCUCUGGCCAUAUGUAUGUGUAGGAUAUAAUCCUCAAUCCAGACUCCGGGGUCUGUCAUUCCGUCAUAUGCCUCUAUGUUUACGGGUUUGAAUCCCGCUGGAAAUCCAUGAUCCACUACCUCGUCGGUGAAACAUAGUGGGUGUGCGGCGCCCCUGUAUUUGGGUGUGCCGUUGUCUUCAAAUGCUCUGCGGGUUGUGUUGCUUCCUGGAGUCGUCUUUUUUGGCCCAUAAAUAGAUCUGACUGGAUCGUCCUUCUUCCGAGGAUCUUUAUGCUGAUCGUGUGCCGGUUUGUGUGCGGUGACCGUUGUUGCUCUUGGCCUGUCAUCUGGUCGUCUAUCCGGCCAGGCGGCUUCUUUCUUUUUUGGCAGCGGGGGCUCUAAGGCAUCCUCGUCAAAUUCGGGCAACAGCUUGUGCUUCGGGUAGCUCUUUGUCUGGUGACUGGCGCCAUGUUUAUCUGCGUUGUUGAGUACUUUGCUCCAUCUCAUUCUGAGUGCGUCCUCCGCUGUUUUGAGCUUCCGCUUUUGCUUCUUCAAACUUAUUGCCGUGGCGACGAGCCUUUUAUGAAGAUUCGUAUGCUCUGGUGAUGUGAGAUCAUCUUCGCCAGGGAUGGGUUGCCUGUCCGGUUCAUCAUGUUCGGAUGGCUGCUUGGUGGCACGUGCGUCGUCCACUGCUUCGCCCUGCUCUAAGGCCGGGUCCGUAUGGGUGCCGUUUUUAUCGAGGCCGGUCCUCGGGCGGCGCUUGCGUCGCUGUUUUGUUUGUUUGUUGGGGGAGUUGUCCUUCGCCACGUCCCGUUUUUCCUCAUUAUCGCUUCCUUUUGGUGUAUCCACCAUGUAUACGUCGUGAGUUGGGGUGGCUUUCCAGUGCCCAGUAGGCGCUGGUUCUUGGUCAUCUCUGGCAUCGUCGUCCAUACCGUCGAUGUCUUCGGAGUCGUAGUCUAGCACGUCGGUUAGGUCAUCGACAGUGGCUACCAAGUGAGCGGUGGGUGGAGUUUGAAUUUUCUCAUUGUCCGCAUCCCAACCGUCCUGGCCGCAGUCCGGCUAGGGCUCUCCUGAUAAUGAGAGAUACCUUAACGGACUCAGGAUGUCGCCAUAAAAGGCGAGUGUUGAAAGAUGUCCGGGGCCGUAAACUCCAUGAUCGGCGCCCAACCGGAUUCGAUAGGUGGGGGCGCGGGAGGUUCAGAGUCCGGCAAGGAGUCCGGCACCUCGGAGUCACGAGCCUCGUGAGGGACAAAAUCAGUGUUCGGCUCUAUCGCCGUAGAGGUUGCGGCACCCGAGGCGAUGUCUAGCCAUCCGUCCUCGAUCUGCGCAGCCGGCUCCGAAUUGAAGAUCGGAGCGGGCUCGAGUGUGGCCUCCAGGGUACUGUCCGGCGGCAGAGCUAAAUCAUGCCCGACGUGACAGUGCGGCACGCUCGGCUGUGGCUCGAAUCCGUCGAAGAUCAAGUCCCCGCGGAUGUUAGCCGUGAAGUCCAAACUUCCAAAUCUGACCUGACGGCCCGGGGCGUAACUUUCGAUCUGCUCUAGAUGGCCAAGCGAAUUGGCCCGCAAUGCAAAGCCGCUGAAUACGAAGAUCUGUCCGGGGAGGAAGGUCUCACCCUGGACUACGUCGUUGAUGAUGAUCGAAGAAGCCAUCGAGCCUAUCGAUGACGACACAGAGUAACUCUCAAUGAAAGCACCAAUGUCGGUGUCAAAACCGGCGGAUCUCGGGUAGGGGGUCCCGAUCUGUGCGUCUAGGCAGAUGGUAACAGGAGACGAGGGACACGAUGUUUUUACCCAGGUUCGGGCCCUCUUGAUGGAGGUAAAACCCUACGUCCUGCUUGAUUAAUAUUGAUGAUGUGUGUUACAAGAAUAGAUCUACCACGAGAUCAAGGAGGCUAAACCCUAGAAGCUAGCCUAUGGUAUGAUUGUUGUUCGUCCUAUGGACUAAAGCCAUCCGGUUUAUAUACACACCGGAGAGGGCUAGGGUUACACAGAGUCGAUUACAAUGGUAGGAGAUCUACAUAUCCGUAUCACCAAGCUUGCCUUCCACGCCAAGGAAAGUCCCAUCCGGACACGGGACGAAGUCUUCAAUCUUGUAUCUUCAUAGUCUUGGAGUCCGGCCGAUGAUGAUAGUUCGGCUAUCCGGACACCCCCUAGUUCGGAACUCCCUCAGGCAUACUACCAGAUGAGGCUGAGAGUACCCUCAAGCAUCGACAUUUGAGACAGAUUAGUCUUUGCAAAGAUUGUACGCCACGGAAGAAGAUAUGGAGCAUGCUUUGCUUAAGUGUUCACAUGCUGAACUUUUCUGGCAGGAAGCCCAACGGCUCUUUGAUUUCCACAUGCCACGGCUGCACCCUUGACAUGGGCGAAGGAUAUCAUCUGUGAUGGCAAAUUAACGAACAGGGAGCGGGCGAUUAUGGUCUCGGUUAUGUGGUCGGUUUGGCAUUCGAGAAACAAAUUGAUUGAUAACCCGCAAGUAUACGGGAUAGUUGUAGCCUCUUUCGAUAAGUAAGAGUGUCGAACCCAACAAGGAGCUAAAGGUAGAACAAAUAUUCUCUCAAGCCCUAUCUGCCACUGAUACGACUAUACGCACGCUUAGUGUUCACUUUACCUAGAACAAGUAUGAAACUAGAAGUACUUUGUAGGUGUUGUAGGAUAGGUUUGCAAGAUAAUAAAGAGCACGUAAAUAAAAAGUAGGGGUUGUUUAGAUAAAAAAACAAUAAAGUAAAUAUAGCGAGUGUGGAAAAGUGGUGAUAGGAGUUGUGAAAUUGUCCCUAAGCAAUUGAUUACGUUACUAGACCGGUAAUCACUAUUGCAAUUCUAUUUGAGGGAGAGGCGUAAACUAACAUACUUUCUCUUCUUGGAUCAUAUGCACUUAUGAUUGGAACUCUAGCAAGCAUCCGCAACUACUAAAAAACAUUAAGGUAAAACUCAACCAUAGCAUUAAAGUAUCAAGUCCCCUUUAUCCCAUACGCAAACAACCUACUUACUCGGGUAUGUGCUUCUGUCACUCACGUCACCCACCAUAAGCAAAUCAUGAACAUAUUGCGAACCCUACAUCGGGGAUCCCUCACGCUUGCGCGACACGGAGAGCACCAUAGGACAGCACCAAUAAUAAAACAUGCAACUCAAACCAAUCAUAGCAAUUCAUCAAUCACCGAUAGGAUAACGAAAAUCUACUCAGACAUCAUAGGAUGGCAACACAUCAUUGGAUAAUAAUAUGAAGCAUAAAGCACCAUGUUCAAGUAGAGGGUACAGCGGGUUGCGGGAGAGUGGACCGCUGAAUAUAGAUGGGGGAAGGUGAUGGAGAUGUUGGUGAAGAUGGGGAGGUGUUGGUGAACACUACAAGAAAUAUGUCAACUUGUGACCACCACUAUUGGUCACUGAAAGGUCAUAGUUUUUCAUUUGCGACCUUUUUGUGACCAAAAACAGAAGGUCAAAAGCUGGUAGUCGUAAACUGACUAUAGCGACAUUCUUUGCAAUGUGUAAAAGGUCGUUGGUUCCACGACCAAAUUUUUGGUCACAAGCAACAUCCCCAGACCACGUAGGCAUCCAGCAUGGCAAGCUGACGUGGAUAGGAAUCAGCCCGGUCCGAUUCGGUGUUUUACAUGGGCCGAGCCCAACAAUUCAGCUCAUUUAUUGUUUUUUUCCUUUCAAGUUUGGUCAGCUACAUGGGCCAAGCCCAACAGACUUUUAUUUUUUGGGCAACAGAAUUUUACACUGCACUUUUUUUGGCCUCGGCCUUUUUCCAGCCCAUUUGUCAGUUUUCUUUUAUUUCUUUUCCAUUUUAAAGUAGGUCCCACUAGUCAAAUGGGAACCAAUUACCACAAGUCAGUUUUCUGCAAUUAGAUAAUGUGAUUCAAAAAGAGCCAAUAAGGCAUAAUAUUUCAUACAACAGCCAAGCAAAGUACAUUAAAAUCCUGUACACCCAAAACUGAGAUUACAUUACAACAGCCAAGCAAAGUACAUGGUACAAAUCUAGUAUUUAGCUAUAAAAUACAACUAAAUAUACACAUAACUAGCUUCACACAUAACUAUCUCCAGUGAGCUAAAAUCGCAUUGCUGGGUGUGGUUUUUCUCCGGGAUUCUUCUUCCUAGAGCUCCUGUACACCCAACUUUUGAAGAAUGAAGGCCAGCAUCUGCAAAUAAUAAAUUAUGGAAAGUUAGAAACAUAAUCAAGUGAAUCCGUGAAUAUAAAAUUCUCAUAACGAUGAAAAUUUGCUGCAGUACUUUAGAUUUAACAGGAAACCAUGCAUAUAACAUUCUCAUAACAGCGAAAACUGAGAUAUAUUUUGCAAAUGAUCAAGUACCAGCAUAGAGCAAGUUAACACAACAGAUGGACAGUACAAGCUAUUAGUGAUUUUCUACUUUAGAACAGGGCACAUGCAUCAAAUUUUAUAGUCGGGAAGAAAGAAGAAGUGCUGGAAGAGGCCAAAGAGAUGACAUACCCUGGGGCGGCCGAAGAUGGUGAAAUGAUGAUCUACUUGUUCUUAGACAGCUCAAUGAGCACCUGAUAUAAAAAACAGGUUGAAUUAAUCAUAAGCAUGCUGAAUUAAUCAACAUUCCUAGCUGAAACACCACAUUAUGAAUGAUUGUUCAAGUAUAGUAUAUGCACCUGAAUGUAAUCAGGUACAUAUGUUGCCAGACAGAGAUGGCAUCUGUAUAUACCUAGAAUCAAUCACAAGGUAUAGGGAGAGAAAUAAACACAUAUAUUCUUACUAGUACUACUAGGUUGCUAGCUAGCUGCAUGUAUCCAUCUAGUAAGCAGCCACAAGUCAGAACACACAUCUGAUGCCACCAUCUUAUCUUACACUUCAGGAACUAGUACAACAUGAUAGGAUGACUUGUGAUGCUACCAUCUUAUCUUAGAAGAAGAAAAACAAUGAUACAUCUAGCAAGAACGGAUUGAAAACCAGCUAGUUGUCGAUCCAUGAUUUUAUAGUACGGUGCAAGAUAGCUAUCAUCACUGAACAAUUCAAGAUUGAAGAAUUCAAAACAUGUGAAUUGCAGUAAAUUGUAGCUUGGGUAUUCUCUGCAUGAAGCUUGUCCUGGAAAGAGAAAUUAAACAUCAGUCUGAGCCACUUUCUUGUAUGGGACAGAGUUGUACAAAGGCAAAGAAAACAAAAAUAUCGCUCACCCACAGCUUGUAGGACUUUGGACUCUGAGUCAAGCACCAAAUGAACACAUCAGUGGCCUCCUUGUCAAGCUCUGCAUUAUCUGAACAUAAUACACAGGUAAGCUAACUGGAAUUUGCAAAACAAAAUUAAACCGGCUCUGUAUUGCAGAAUGAACACAUUUCCACUCACUUUCUUGAAUUGCCUUCACAGCCAACGGCAAAAGCUACUGCGAUGCUGGCUAAACAGCAUUAGAGCCAGGAGUACCAACAAGAGCCAGCUCCUUUAUUGUUGGGUAGGCUGCUUCAAACCUUUAUGUAGCCUAAAUAAUUCAAUGCAGAGGUAUUAGAAUAUUGUCUCAUAUUAAACAUACCGCAGAAACGAUACAAAAUAGUAUGGAACUGAGUUGAAUUAGAGGACUACUAUGGUUGCUUUGUUAACAGAUACUCAAGAAUUACUUGAAAAAGAGAAGAUACAAAAUAACCAGUUGUCCAGUACAACUGCUACUACUACUUGUUUAUAUACCCAAGUGUCUCCAUAGUGCAUAUUUUGUUUGUGAAACCUAUAAGGUCUCAAAAUGUUAGUUAGAGCUCUAUGCAGAAUACUUUGGAGGAAAACGGUGCAAACGCUCAAGAACUUGUACUUGUUGUACCAGGAACAGGAUGCGGCGGUGGAGCUUCAAGAAAAAUAUUUAGGGGCCAAAACUAAGAGGAAAACACCAAUUAUUCACAUUGAAGAUUGAACGCAUAUGCCAUUCUGGCAUAUCCUUGAAGGAACAAUUCUCAUAACAGGAACACAAUAGAGGGCUGUUGAUUUUGAUGAAAACUAAAUCAGAGCACUACUAAUGUAAUUCUGUUAACAGAUACUCAAACAUCACUGGAACAAGAUUUGCAGAACAUCUAGUUUUCCACUACAGAAACGUCUCUAUUUGCCCCUAAACUAAACCAAGAUAGUAUGUAUUGCGGCUACAACCAACCUACAACUACUGUAGACAGUGAAGCAUACCAGACCACAAGAACAUGGAACGGUCCCUGUGUACAUCUAAUAUAAUCUCUCUUUUUCAUGAUAUUAAUCUAACCAAUCUCAAGAUUGCAGAGUAGAACAACCGCACAUACCAAUCAAUGUAAGCCCUUGCUCACCACAAUGGUGUAGGCGCCAUCGUCGGCCGGCACAGACUCCUCCUUGUACAUCACGUCCCACCCCAACACCUUCACGUCCCAGGUCAGCGUCGUGUCGCCCUGAAUUGAGUUGUCACAACCAAAUUAAGUCAGUCAGUCACCCAGCUCUGUAGUUCCGAAUGAAAUUUUCUGAAGGAACGGACUCAGAUUUCUGUUGUUUGUACCUCGGUGGGCUUGAUCUCGAUAGUCCUGGAAGAGGUCGACCUGGAACCUGCUUCAUGGCGGCGCGGAGGUUGUUCUUUGCGGGGCCGGGGGAGCCGCGAAGGUCCGUCACCUGCAGCAGCAACGCCACGCCGCCAGGGCGGUGGCGGCCAGGCUCUUCCACUCCCGGCGCCGCCGGAGCAUGCGGCAGAGCAUCUCAAAGUCGGCGCCCACCUUGAAGUCGCGCGCACAGAAGAACUUGAGGAGGACGAUGUCUGUCGCCUCGUCGCCCUUGCUCGGCAGCAGUGGCACGCCCCACAGCGCCACGUCCUUGUCGAUGACGACCACCGCCGCCGGCCCCGCCUUCUCACCCUCGUUGGAGGUCUCCUCCUUCUAUGCGACCGCCUCCGCCUCGCCGCCAUCGCGCCCUAACUCUCGGGCCUGUCAAAAAAACCGCGGCGAAAUUAAAAUCAUAUCAACGCGGCGAACGGGAGGCGAGGCGAACGGCACGACGGACCGAGCAAGGCGGGGACGGCGUCACACGCGCGCGUGCUCUGAUGCGGGGGUGGCGGCGGUGUUCGCCCAAUCGAUCUCUGCUCCAUCUGUGUCUCUCUCCCCGGGCGAGAAGCGGCGGACGAAUCGUGAAUCGGAGGAGGGGUGCGUGGGUCGCUUACGAGGGCGAGGGUGCUCUUGCCAGAGUAGGGUGGCCGGGAGAGUGAGGGCGGCGGCGGAGGUGGGUGGCAGGGACAAGGGGGACGAGGGGGAUCUUCAUCGGGGGAGAAGGGGGAGGGAGAGAAAGAAAGAAAGAAAGGAGGCGGGGGGUAGAUGGAAAACGGGGGACCUAGGGUUUCGCCUCAGGUGGGGUUGGUGGGGGAGGCGAGGGGUGAGGGCUGUCGUUGGAUCUGGAAGGAUCCAACGGUGUUUCGUGCAUGAUCCGCGUGUUUGGUCCACGGACCAAUCAAAACGCAAUACAACAUUAUGACCAAUUAAAUUGGUCGUGAUAGAUUUAAAAAUAAGAUGUUAAAAUCAUGUAAGCUAUUUUAUGAUCACACAAAUUCAACAAAAUAAAAAACCUUCUCAUUGUGACACCAAUUGUGAACUAGCUUUCAGGAAAAUAACAAACAUGGAAUGGCAAACAACAUUGCCUAAGCAAGUUUUCAUUUUUUUUUCACGAAAAAAUCAUUUUUGAAUUUUUUGAGUGCCCAAAAUGAGUUUUUUUGUGAAGAACCUACCAAAUAAUUAUUGCAAAAUUGAACCAAAUCAAUUUUCUAAAAUACUAGGCCAUAUUUAAUGCAUAAUUGACCAAACGGUUGGGUGUCAAAAGCUUUUAUCCUCCUCUCGUGAAAAAGAAAAAAUUUUGCCGAUUCAGUUGGAAGCGGGUCAAAUUUGAACUGCCGCUGCCUCAUAGUUUGCUAUUUAUUUUUAAAAAAAAUCAUUUUUAGGUACAAAAGUAUCUAUUUAAUCAUAAAAACAGCAAAAGUUUUCCAAGAUUCAACUACUAGCUAGGAACAGCCAUGUGUGCCGUUUUGACCGCAUUUUCAAACGUGCAUAGAAAAUUAAAAAAAUCAAAAAAUUGGAAAAACCUUCGCAUUGUGUCAUUAUAUAUGACCAAGUUGACAGGAAAAAUAAUAAACUUGUAAUACGGAAAUUAUUUUAAAAAAGUGUUAUCAGAAAUGAGCUAUCAUGCGUGAAGAUUCAUGGCUUUCAAGCCAAAUGAUCAAUCUUAUGGCCACAUUCAUGGCAUAGUUUGUUCAAAUGAUCUCAUAUGGUGCACAAGGGUGCAUCUUGGAAUUCCAAACAAUGUUGCCUAAGGGAGUUUCAUUUUCUUUUCAUGAAAAAUACAUUUUCCAUUUUUCGAGUGCUCGAAAUGAGUUUUUUUGUGAAGGACCUACCAUAUAUUUGUUGCAAAAUUGGACUUAAUCAAUUUUAUAAAAUACUAGGCCAUAUUUAAUGCACAAUUGACCAAAUUGUUGGGUGUAAAAAGUUUUGAUCCACCUCUGGUGAAAAAGACAAAUUCCCGCCGAUUCAAUAGGAAGCGGGUCAAAUUUGAACUGCAGCUACCUCAUAGUUUGCUCUUUAUUUUUUCCAAAAAUCAUUUCUAGGUACAUAAGUAUCUAUUUAAUCAUAGAAACACCAAAAAAAUUCCAAGAUUCAACCACUAGCUAGGAACGGUCAUUCCCGCCGUUUUGACCGCAUUUUGAAACGGGCAUAAAAAAUUCAAAAAAAUCAAAAAAUUGGAAAGCCUUUGCAUUGUGUCAUUAUAUGUGACCAAGUUUCCAGGAAAAAUAAUAAACUUGUAAUAAGGCAAUUAUUUUAAAAAAGUGUUCUCAGAAAUGAGCUAUCAUGCAUGAAGAUUCAUGGCUUUCAAGUCAAAUGAUCAAUCUUAUGGCCACAUUCAUGGCAUAGUUUGUUCAAAUGAUCUCAUAUGGUGCACAAGGGUGCAUCUUGGAAUUCCAAACAAUGUUGCCUAAGGGAGUUUUCAUUUUCUUUUCACGGAAAAUACAUUUUCCAUUUUUCGAGUGCUCGAAAUGAGUUUUUUUGUGAAGGACCUACCAUAUAUUUGUUGCAAAAUUGGACCUAAUCAAUUUUAUAAAAUACUAGGCCCUAUUUAAUGCACAAUUGACAAAAUGGUUGGGUAUCAAAAGUUUUGAUCCACCUCUGGUGAAAAAGACAAAUUCCCGCCGAUUCAGUAGGAAGCGGGUCAAAUUUGUACUGCAGCUACCUCAUAGUUUGCUCUUUAUUUUUUCCAAAAAUCAUUUCUAGGUACAUAAGUAUCUAUUUAAUCAGAGAAACACCAAAAAAAUUCCAAGAUUCAACCACUAACUAGGAACGGUCAUUCCCGCCGUUUUGACCGCAUUUUGAAACGGGCAUAAACAAUUCAAAAAAAAUCAAAAAAUUGGAAAACCUGCGCAUUGUGUCAUUAUAUGUGACCAAGUUUCCAGGAAAAAUAAUAAACUUGUAAUACGGCAAUUAAUUUAAAAAAGUGUUCUCAGAAAUGAGCUAUCAUGCAUGAAGAUUCAUGGCUUUCAAGCCAAAUGAUCAAUCUUAUGGCCACAUUCAUGGCAUAGUUUGUUCAAAUGAUCUCAUAUGGUGCACAAGGGUGCAUAUUGGAAUUCCAAGCAAUGUUUCCUAAGGGGGUUUUCAUUUUCUUUUCACGGAAAAUACAUUUUCCAUUUUUCGAGUUCCCGAAAUGAGUUUUUUUUGUGAAGGACCUACCAUAUAUUUGUUGCAAAAUUGGACCUAAUCAAUUUUAUAAAAUACUAGGCCAUAUUUAAUGCACAAUUGACAAAAUGGUUGGGUGUCAAAAGUUUUGAUCCACCUCUGGUGAAAAAGACAAAUUCCCGUCGAUUCAGUGGGAAGCGGGUCAAAUUUGAACUGCAGCUGCCUCAUAGUUUACUCUUUAUUUUUUCCAAAAAUUAUUUCUAGGUACAUAAGUAUCUAUGUAAUCAGAAAUACAUGGUUUGGUGGCGAGACAUCGAGGUUUGGAUGGUGGCCGAGGGCCCCAACUCUAGAGCGCGUAAGCUCGCAUGCCCGUCGCGUGGUCACCGCGUGACCUGGCGUUGCCAUGUGUUCUGGGCGGCCUAGGCAUGUCUAGUGGGUUGGACACUCCCCAGGUAGGUGCUAGGAAGAAAAUUAUAACAUAAUAUUCUCAUGAGGAGACCGAACUAUGCUCAAACAUGAAUUAGCAGCCAAGUGUUUGAUUAGUGGUACGGGAAAUGCACAUGGCCAAUGGGUGUGAGUUUUGGCUGAGGAUGAUCAUAUACUAAGAAGAAUGUCUUCACAAAUUUUUAGGGAAAUCAAGAAUAUAUAAAUAACACUUCCUUCACAAAGUGCUGCUCUGAACAGAAUAGGAAAAUGAAUAUUGUUGAGUUAUUUUUGAACUAGGCAAGGAAGGUUUUUGACAUAUUUGAUGAAGGUAUGAUCCAAACAAUUUAUGAGAAUUUUUUGGGAAUUUUUGGAAUAACAGAAAUAUAGGUUGCUUCACAACCUAGGGCAAAAAUUGACACAUGGACAUGACACAUAGGCAAAUCUGAUGAGGUGGCGCCUAGUCAUAGCAAUAAGUACUAAUGCAUCCACGUUCACAACCUCAUGACCAUUUAUAUUGGUCGUAAUCAGGUAGAAAUAAGGUCAUGGACCACUCUUGUCUGCUUUUAUGACCAUUUGGUCUAAGGCAAUUCAGGGUUUGAGCCCUUCUAAGCGAAAUGGCCGUGGAUUUACGACCAAUUCAGCUAGGGUCACUAAGAAAAGGUCACUAGUUGACAUAUUUCUUGUAGUGGAAGAUGGCGGUGAUGAUGAUGGCCCUCGGCGGCGUUCCGGCGCCACCAGAAGCAAGGGGAAGAGAGCCCUCCUUCUUCUUCUUCUUCCUUGACCUUCUCCCUAGAUGGGAGAAGGGUUUCCCCUCUGGUCAUUGGCUCCCAUCGCGUGGGAGGGGCGAGAGCCCCUCCAAGAUUGGAUCUAUCUCUCUGUCUCUCUCUGUUUCUGCGUUCUCAGAUUCUGCCCCUUCACCGUUUCUUUUAUAUCCUGAGAUCCAUAACUUCGAUUGGGGUGAAUCUUUCCCCCAGAUCUUUCUCAUAAAAUUACCUUUCUUGCGGCAAAAGAAGAGCGUCAACCGCCUUACGAGGGGCCCAGGAGAGUCCUGGGCGCGUCUGCCUCCCUGGGGCGCGCUCCCAAUCUCCUGACCCCUCAGGCACCGUCUCGCGUUGAUUUUACUUUCCAAAAAUCAUAAAUAUUCCAAAAUAAUUCUCCGUCCGUUUUUAUCCCGUUUGGACUCCGUUUGAUAUUGGGUUUCUGUGAAACAUAAAACAUGCAACAGACAGGAACUGGCACUGGGCACUGGAUCAAUAUGUUAGUCCAAAAAAUAAUAUAAAAACUUGCCAAAAGUAUAUGAAAGUUGAAGAAUAUUGGAAUGGAACAAUCAAAAAUUAUAGAUACGACGGAGACGUAUCAUUGACUCAUGGUGAGGAUAGCCUUAAUGCUCCUACUUCAGUGCGUCGGACCAGAGAGGCCCUAGCGCUCCUGGAUAUACCACGACGCCAUGCAAUGGUGUUACCCGGACAUGGUUGACGACCCUCGGACCUUGAGCAUGUCAAGAUUAAUACUGAUGCAACUAUCAGGAGAGAGAACGACAAGGGUGGAGGGGGUGUGGUGUAGCUCGUUAUCCAAUUCUUUUGAAAGCGCAUGGAGCAAGCCAUAUCUGGGUGUUACGAAUUCACUCAUUGCGGAGGCGAUGGCAGUGCGAGACGAUGUCAUCUUCGCCAAACCGAGGGGCUUUGCAAAAGUUAUACUUGAGACAGAUUGUCGGGAGGUUGUUAACCUCUGGACCACUCGCCAUGAUUCACGUUCAAUUGUGGCACCACUUUUAGUAGAAAUUGGAGAGCUUACUAGUAGCUUCCAUUCUUUUGUUAUUCAACAUGUAUCCCAGUCAGCUAAUGGUCCAGCUCAUAUUUGUGCGAAGCAUGCUUCCACGAUUUACGUGACCGAAAGCAGGCUUGGCAACACUCCUAGCUUUCUGAUCAGCAGCUUAUUGACUCAUUGCUCGGGGAGCGCCUUUAUUGAAUAAAGCUUUCAAGUUUCACCCACCAAAAAAAAAAA
rnacentral:lncRNA from 1 species